AUUAUUAUUAUUAUUUUUUCACCUUAGACCAUCAUGUUUUAAUUUGACAGGGACCUCCAGGAACAGAUGGUGUACCUGGGUUGCCAGGACGACCAGGGAGAACUGGACCCCCUGGUUCUGCCGGCCAGCGGGGCCCACCAGGCGUUCCAGGUGACAUGGGUCUUCCUGGUCUGACUGGUUCAAAGGGUCAAAGAGGAGAGAGAGGAGAGCCUGGCUAUGUUAUAGCUGGCACGGAUUCAAAUUUUGUCCCUGGACGAAAAGGGGAGCCAGGAUCAUCAGGUCCUCAGGGACCUCCUGGCAUACCAGGCGUCAAUGGGGCUCCAGGUUUACCCGGUCAGCCAGGACCUCCAGGGCCACCAGGAAUAUCUUUCAAGGGAGAUCCCGGAGAACCUGGAGUAAAAGGUUUACGUGGGAAGCAGGGCGUGAAAGGAGACAAAGGAGAGCAGGGAGAAAAUGGUACUGCAGGUUUGCCUGGUCCCAUUGGCAUUGAUGGGGUACCAGGAUUACCAGGUCUGAAGGGAGAUAAGGUAAAGUUGUUGUUAAUCUGGAAAUCACAACCUCUGCACAGGUACACCUGUCUA
rnacentral:lncRNA from 1 species